AUGUCUCCAAUGAUGCAUCUGCUGUGGGCUCUGCUACUCCAUGUAACUGGCACUUUAGCUGUUCCCAUCCUCAGAGUCCAGUGUCCGACCCAGUCUCCACUGGUCAGACUGCCCGAUUCGAGUGUGCGAUGCAGAAUGGUAAUGUGAGCAGCUACGCUGUGCACUGGUACCGACAGAGUCCUGGAGAAGCCCCGGUGUGGGUGAUGAGGUACACUACUGGCGGUGACAUAAACAGGGGCAUCGAUUUCACUGAUCGUUUCCAACCUUCUCGAAACUCCUCCAGUGACAGUUACAUCCUAACCAUUGGAAACCUGGUUUCCAGUGACUCUGCCGUCUAUCACUCUGCUGUGUUGGGAUUCAACUUUGGAGGUGGGACGGCCCUGACAAUUCGGAAUAAGUGA